rnacentral:rRNA from 1 species
UAGUCAUAUGCUUGUCUCAAAGAUUAAGCCAUGCAUGUCUAAGCAUAAACAUCUUUAUACAGUGAAACUGCGUACAGCUCAUUAUAUCAGUUAUUAUUUAUUUGAUGGUACCUUACUACAUGGAUACCCGUAGUAAUUCUAGAGCUAAUACAUGCGUCAAGUCCCGACUUUUUGGAAGGGAUGUAUUUAUUAGAUAAAAAACCAAUGCAGGCAACUGCUCUCUUGGUGAUUCAUAGUAACUUUUCGGAUCGCACGGCUUCACGUCGGCGACAGUUCAUUCAAAUUUCUGCCCUAUCAGCUUUCGACGGUACUGUAGUGGACUACCGUGGCAUUAACGGGUGACGGAGAAUUAGGGUUCGAUUCCGGAGAGGGAGCCUGAGAAACGGCUACCACAUCCAAGGAGGGUAGCAGGCGCGCAAAUUACCCAAUCCUGACACAGGGAGGUAGUGACAAAAAAUAACAAUACCGGGCCUUUUUAGGUCUGGUAAUUGGAAUGAGUACAAUUUAAAUCCCUUAACG